AGCAUCGGCUCUUCAGAUCACGCACCUCUUUUGUCGAGUACGGUAACGGUGAGACUGCCUUUCCCUGAAAGCCUCCGUUCUUGAUUUUGAAAAUUUGUGAGACAUGGACAGCUUCCUUGCCAAGUAUCUUGCUAUGGGGCUUGCUAGUGCACUUGUUGCGCUGAUCAUUGCCCCCUACAGCGCUGAAGCGAUGGCUCCAGGUGUAAUUGAAGCUGCAGCAGAGGCGCUUCAAAACAUGUUUGGAAGGAGCGAGGAAAAGUCCGAGGAGUAAGGUGUUCGUCAACGUAUAACCAUGUGGCCAUCCUCCAGUGCGAGAAAGCGCAAGCCUUAUAAAAUUUAACGAAUUCUACGAAGCAAAAAACUGCUGUAGACACAAUAAAUGUCUCAUAAACAUUGGAGAUGAGUAAAUAAUACCGCAUCA
rnacentral:lncRNA from 1 species